UACGUAGGGUGCGAGCGUUGUCCGGAAUUAUUGGGCGUAAAGAGCUUGUAGGCGGUUUGUCGCGUCUGCUGUGAAAAUCCGGGGCUCAACCCCGGACUUGCAGUGGGUACGGGCAGGCUAGAGUGUGGUAGGGGAGACUGGAAUUCCUGGUGUAGCGGUGGAAUGCGCAGAUAUCAGGAGGAACACCGAUGGCGAAGGCAGGUCUCUGGGCCACUACUGACGCUGAGGAGCGAAAGUGUGGGGAGCGAACAGG
rnacentral:rRNA from 1 species